ACUCCGUCUGCCUAAGCCGUGGAGACCGGGAGUGGACGCACGGCGGUGCCUGGACCCCCGGGGAGGUGGAAGAAGAGGAGAGGGAAGGGAGCUGUGGAGUCAGAUGCGGCUUCCUUUACCUGAAUAAUCCUUUAAAGGAGUAAUAAUUUUUAAAAAGGAGCUCGACCUCAGCCAAAGAGGACGGCGCACGAGAUUAGGGCUUGUAGAUCCACUGCCUUUGGUUGGGCCGGCUGAAUCGCUGGGGACUGCGGCCAGUCUCUUAAAAAAGGAGAACAAAAAGCCGAAGACCUUGUGUGGCCGCCGGGACAAAGCACCUUGGGUUCGGCGAGAAGGGACGCGCAGGAGCGCUGAACCCAGAACACGCGUGGCCGCUGCGGAAGGGCGUCCGCCCGGCGUGCGGAACGCUGAGGGGACUCUCAUCCUCUGUCUCGCCCCCUUUUUUUGACCCGGGGAUCCAGCCGCAUUAUACACGAGUGACCUUUUAAAUCUACGUCCACCCUUUACCUGCGAGAGGACUGCAGCAGGCGAGUUCCGGAAGGCUGAAUCCCCAGGUCCCAGCCCCGGACCGCGGCAACUCGCCCCUGCGGCACGCCCGGCCCGGCUGCGCCCCCACUCAGCGAUGGAG